rnacentral:tRNA from 1 species
GCUUAGUUAGUUCAGUGGUUAGAAUGGUAAAUAAUUUUUUUUAUAUUAGUAACGCAGGUUCAAUUCCUAUACUGGGCC